AUACGGAGGACGCGAGCGUUAUCCGGAUUCAUUGGGUUUAAAGGGUGCGCAGGCGGCCGUGCAAGUCAGCGGUGAAAGCCCGGGGCUCAACCCCGGAAGUGCCGUUGAUACUGCAUGGCUGGAAUGCGGUCGAGGCGGGCGGAACGUGGCGUGGUGCGGGGGAAAGCGUAGACAGGCCACAGAACGCCGAUAGCGGAGGCAGCUCGCCAGGCCGGCAUGGACGCUCGGGCACGAAAGGGUGGGGAUCGAACAGGAUUAGAUACCCUGGUAGGCCACGCCGUAAACGAUGGGCGCUCGUCGUCGGCGGCAGACAGUCGGCGGCCAAGCGAAAGCGAUAAGCGCCCCACCUGGGGAGUACGGUCGCAAGGCUGAAACUCAAAUGAAUUGACGGGG
rnacentral:rRNA from 1 species